CCGUUACGGGCCUCACACCAUCGGAUGUGCCCAGAUGGGAUUAGCUAGUNGGUGAGGUAAUGGCUCACCUAGGCGACGAUCCCUAGCUGGUCUGAGAGGAUGACCAGCCACACUGGAACUGAGACACGGUCCAGACUCCUACGGGAGGCAGCAGUGGGGAAUAUUGCACAAUGGGCGCAAGCCUGAUGCAGCCAUGCCGCGUGUGUGAAGAAGGCCUUCGGGUUGUAAAGCACUUUCAGCGAGGAGGAAGGGUUCGGUGUUAAUAGCACNGUUCAUUGACGUUACUCGCAGAAGAAGCACCGGCUAACUCCGUGCCAGCAGCCGCGGUAAUACGGAGGGUGCAAGCGUUAAUCGGAAUUACUGGGCGUAAAGCGCACGCAGGCGGUUUGUUAAGUCAGAUGUGAAAUCCCCGAGCUUAACUUGGGAACUGCAUUUGAAACUGGCAAGCUAGAGUCUUGUAGAGGGGGGUAGAAUUCCAGGUGUAGCGGUGAAAUGCGUANAGAUCUGGAGGAAUACCGGUGGCGAAGGCGGCCCCCUGGACAAAGACUGACGCUCAGGUGCGAAAGCGUGGGNAGCAAANCAGGAUUA
rnacentral:rRNA from 1 species